ACUCCUACGGGAGGCAGCAGUGGGGAAUAUUGCACAAUGGGCGAAAGCCUGAUGCAGCCAUGCCGCGUGUGUGAAGAAGGCCUUCGGUUGUAAAGCACUUUCAGCGAGGAGGAAAGGUUGGCGGUUAAUACCCGUCAGCUGUGACGUUACUCGCAGAAGAAGCACCGGCUAACUCCGUGCCAGCAGCCGCGGUAAUACGGAGGGUGCGAGCGUUAAUCGGAAUUACUGGGCGUAAAGCGCAUGCAGGCGGCCAAGUCAGUCAGAUGUGAAAGCCCCGGGCUUAACCUGGGAAUUGCAUUUGAUACUGCUUGGCUAGAGUCCUUGAGAGGGGGUAGAAGUUUCAGGUGUAGCGGUGAAAUGCGUAGAGAUCUGAAGGAAUACCAGUGGCGAAGGCGGCCCCCUGGCAAGAGACUGACGCUCAGAU
rnacentral:rRNA from 1 species